rnacentral:lncRNA from 1 species
GAGAGAGAGAGAUGCGCUUCUCAGCUCUUAUCAUCUAUGGCCCGAGGGUGUUUUGGUUGUUGCCUGUUGGACAACAUCCUUUUCAAGCUCAGGAAAAAGAAAGCAACACACAAUUUAAGGGUGGGCUGUUGGUUUUCCUAACAUCUUUUUCAGGACGAGGAGAGAAAAAGCAGAAUUUCACAAUCGACAAAAGAAUUCAAAAAAAUUGGGGGCAUACCUCCAUCACUGGGUACAUUAGACUCACUGUGCGCACCAAUCUCCAGACUAGGUGAAAAAAUGGUCUCUGGGCUUGAUUUGCAGGUUACUGCUGUAGGCUCCUGCAGUGAUUUCAAAAAACGAAGGACAACAACAACAUCAAAAAUCAAAUUGUCUUACUUUUGGCCUGUAGGCACAAGUAUGGCAUGGAAAACUAAAAAUGUAAAACUGCCAGGAAUAAUUAGUAAUAAUGCACGAGUUAUAUUAUGUGAAUUAUAUAUUUC